ACAACCUACUCCCCUAAAAUUAACCCAAUCUUUUCUAGUGCCAAUAAAAGUCGAGAAAAUCUCCGAGAGAGACUGCAUGACUCCUCCUCAGACGAGGACUUUGACGGCUGUGACUCUUGCCAUGAGCUUGAUGACUUCGAACACCACAAUCUAUUAAAUAGCACACAAAUCCAACUUUACGAUUACGAUUCAGAUUAUGCAGAAGAUGAACGAAUGAUGCAAAAGUGGCAAGCAAGACGAUUAGGACUUGUUUACCUAGGGAA
rnacentral:ribozyme from 1 species